UGGGGAAUUUUCCGCAAUGGGCGAAAGCCUGACGGAGCCAGACCGCGUGAGGGAAGAAGGCUCUAGGGUUGUAAACCUCUUUUAUCAGGGAAGAAGAAAGUGACGGUACCUGAAGAAAAAGCCUCGGCUAACUCCGUGCCAGCAGCCGCGGUAAGACGGAGGAGGCAAGCGUUAUCCGGAAUGAUUGGGCGUAAAGAGUCCGUAGGUGGAACUUCAAGUCUAUUGUUAAAGAGCAAAGCUUAACUUUGUAAAGGCAGUGGAAACUGAAGAACUAGAGAGGGGCAGGGGCAAAGGGAAUUCCUGGUGUAGCGGUGAAAUGCGUAGAGAUCAGGAAGAACACCGGUGGCGAAAGCGCUUUGCUGGGCCCAUUCUGACACUGAGGGACGAAAGCUAGGGGAGCGAAUG
rnacentral:rRNA from 1 species